rnacentral:rRNA from 1 species
AUUGAACGCUGGCGGCAUGCCUUACACAUGCAAGUCGAACGGUAACGGGCCUUCGGGUGCCGACGAGUGGCGAACGGGUGAGUAAUGUAACGGAACGCUCCCAGUAGUGGGGGACAGCCCGGCGAAAGCCGGACUCAUACCGCAUACGACCUACGGGCGACAGGGGGGGAUCGCAAGGCCUCGCGAUAUUGGAGCUGCCGAUAUCAGAGUAGGAAGUUGGUGGGGUAAAGGCCUACCAAGCCUGCGAUCUGUCGUUGGUCUGGGAGGCCGACCAGCCACACUGGGACUGAGACACGGCCCAGACUCCUACGGGAGGCAGCAGUGGGGAAUUUUGGACAAUGGGCGCAAGCCUGAUCCAGCAAUGCCGCGUGCAGGAAGAAGGCCUUCGGGUUGUAAACUGCUUUUGUCAGGGAAGAAAUCCUCUGGGUUAAUACCUCGGGGGGAUGACGGUACCUGAAGAAUAAGCACCGGCUAACUACGUGCCAGCCGCCGCAGUAAAAC